rnacentral:miRNA from 1 species
CAUCUCAUCCUGAUCGCCA